CAGACCCAACCUACCGUAUCCACCAAUCACAGCAGAAGGUUUCCUCCCACUUUGUCGCAGGCUCAUCCACGUUUUUUUCACGGAGAAGGUAACUGCUUUGUGUUUUUAACACGAAGGAAGUCGACUGUUCCGUCGCGAACAGCUAUAUUAUAGCCUGCCCACCGCCAUGUUUUUAGGGUAGUACUUAGGAACCUGUCUAAGGUUUGAAGUUGAUGUAUUAUAUAUUGUUUUUGACCUCCGUUUCUGAUUAUUUUAUGUUACUACGCAAAAAAUUACAAAGUGACUCCAAAGGAAGAAAUGGCAGACGGACAAUGAAAGCUGGAGCUGUGAGAAGUGUUGGAGUAGAUUAUUCCAUGUCCUGGAAUCCCUUGGAAUAAAUAUACAGGGGCCGACCAGAUCAGUAAGAUCAACGAUGAUGUCAAGCCUUCAGAGUUUCCUACACAUAUUUUUUGGGAUAAUGAUCGCUGUUUGUCUUUAAUGUACAGUUGAAAAUGUAGACAGUGCAGUGUUUUCAAUCGAUAAAAAGUCUUUACCCCUCUGUUUCUCCACAAAUAGGCUGUAGAAGGACUGACAACUGUGGUUAUAGCAUAUGUGACAAACAUAAACAGAAUUUAGAUGAGCUGUGAUUUGUGAGUACAAACUUAGCAGUAUGCUUCGUUUAAAGGGAAAUUUUCCCUAAUUGUCUACCUUCUGCUGCAGGGGCUCUCCAUCACCAUCAUGAUGAUGGCUCUCUUUUACUAUCAGAAAAGUUUAAAUAGAGAUCCUUUCUUGUAUAUUUUGUGAUGCUGCACCAUUAUUAGCUAUAUUUGGACAUUUGCAUAUAUGUGUAAUACCUGAUAAAGAACGAUAGAUUUUAUUUGUAUUCUGCAGCAUUAAACCAGUACAUUCCUCAUUCCUUCCACUCAGAGUUCAAAGUUCAUCUUCUCUGAUUGCUUGUGUGAUGCUAAAGGGAAAAACUUUGAAAUCUGCAAGUCUAUAUUUACAGAGCUUUUAAAAUUGAGCUUUAUAUUCAUUAGAUGUGUUGAUUUUCCAACUUUUUGCUGCAGUCAUGUUUUGAAUGCUUCAUUCUCAGGCUCAUAGAUUUUUUUCCACCUUUUUUUGCAACAGAUUUGACUCCUUUUUUGCUUACUGAAGAUUAUGCAAAAUGGUUGUACUUUCUGCUGUUGGCUAACAAAGAGGAAUAAAUGGGGACACUUGAUUUUUACAGCCUGUAUCAGGUGAACACUGUGUGUAACGGUGAGGGUUACAGAUUUAUCUCAGUGUUACUUUGCUCUGACUUUAACAGUUUACUAGGCUGUAAAAUAAAAGGUUUUGAAUCA